ensembl:lncRNA
CAGCUUUCAUGUGUCUUUGCAUGCUCUCCACCAAUCUUUCCAACCUAUCCUCCAACUAAUACGCUCGUAUAGGUCGUUUGUCCAAAUCCCUGAAAUACGACCCAUCAGAGCGUAUACUACAAUUGCGCCCCUAUCGGCAAAAGGUCGUGUUCAUAUUAAUGUUUUGUACUCUUUUAUUUGCACCGUGAUUUGCGUUUCGUGUAGCUCAGUUGGUAGAUUAUUGCGUUAUACCUUGAUAUGCAAUCAUGCUAUCAUGGGUUCGAUCCCCGAGAAUGGACGUGCACGUAAAAUGUAUAUGCUCAAAAAAUCAUAAUUUAGCAUGAUUUCUGUGAGGGUUAGGUUUAGGGGGUGGGGUUAGGUGUGGUCAUUCGAACGAAUAAGCCUCCUAGUAAAAUAUGUACGAAUUACUGUGAGAUCAGUGUAAAAAGUCCACACAUUGCAUUUAAAUAAACGUGCGUUUUGAUUGGUAAUGACAUUAUACGUCAUUUCAUGACGACAGACGCAACGCGAUACUGUCAUUAUUUUUACGCCCGCUAGAGGCCGCUUAACGUUAAAACGUAAAAAUAGGUCGUAAUAAGGUGCUUGCACAAACGACCUAUAUGGUCGUUUUUUGUUGGAGGACAGGCUGAAUCUUUAACAUUACUGUUGGUUGACUUUAUGCCACUCCUGGUGCAAAAACUCAAGCAGCUACGCUUUAAGUAGAAAUCAUUGACCCACACUCACCCUCUCUGAAAAGCUUCCUCUUUCUUUGUUAAAGUGUUGUAGUUUCCUGGUGUGUCAGUAGAGCUGCUGUCUGUCUGUCAGUGAAGACGCUGCGUGAGACUCGAUCUGACUCUCUUCUGCUGGGAUUGAGCUCUUCUGGAGACUGGACUUUAGAGAAAUGAUGCUGAUCUUUGGACUGAUGCUGCUGCUGCAAACUGCUGCAUGUCUGGAUCAGUUCUGCAGUUUUGGUCAAUCUGAACACUGUCAUGCAGCUCUGGGACACAAACUCAAUCUGCUGAUGGUGCGGGAUGCUAGAGAAUAUGAUCUGAGGUUACGUCACAGAAUAAAUAACACGCAAGAUGAUCCAGUUUGUAGAGUAAAAUAUGGCAGGAUAAAGGAAUGUGAUCUUUAUAAUAACAGACCUGAAGUGAAUAUUAUUAAUGGGACUGUGAUAAUAAACUGUGUGAUCAGAGCAGAUUCUGGGAAUUACAUAUUAGCACUCACUGACUCAGACGGCACAGAAACAUCUAGAGAUCUUCAAGUGAUUGUUGAAGCUCCUAUUGGCUCAGUGGAAGUGUCAAUCAUCUGCUCCUCCAGUGGGGUGAUGAGGGUGUUCUGCUCCUCUGAGGGGGAUCAGCUCCUCUACAGCUGGACUCUGAAUGGAGAUCCACUGAUGGAUGGAAACAGCAGCAUUGAUCUGGAUGAGAGAACUGAUGGAGACAUCAGCUGCAGCGUGAAGAACCACGUCAGUCAAGCACAGAAGAACAUUAGACUCAAACCCUGUCCCGGACCAACUACUGCAGCUGUGACCUCUAGUUUGACCUCUACGUCGACACAGACAUCAGAAUAUGUUUUAAAAUUCUCUCUGAUUGCUUUGGGCUGCGUUGCUCUGAUCCUGAUUCUGCUGUUCAUCACCAUAUGUUACAUUUACAAGAAGAAGCAGCUCAAGUGGAAACCAGCUGCUGGAGAAACAGAGCUCAUAUACGCUGAUAUCUCUCAUGAGAAAAAGAGUGAAAAGAAGAAUACAGAAUAUUUCCCUGAUGCUGAUGUGGAAUAUGCAGCGGUCCAACUGCAGACAAAGAGAAGGGAAGAGAAGGAGGAAAAGAAGGAGGAGGAGGAAGAGGAGGAGAAGGAGGUGGUGGCAGAGAAGGAGGAGGAAGAGGAGGAGGAGGAGGUGGACGAGAAGGAGGAGGUGGCCGAGAGGGAGGAGGAAGAGGUUGAAGAAAAGAAGGAGGAGGAGGUGGAGGAGAAGGAGGAAGUGGAAGAGAAGGAGGAGGAAGAGGAGGAGGAGGUUCAGUAUGGUGAGAUAAUGUUCACACCGAACCACUCAAACAAUCCGCAGGAGCUUCAGGAGCAGUGUGUUUUCUAG